UAGGGAAUAUUAGUAAUGGGCGAAAGCCUGAACUAGCAACACCGCGUGUGCGAAGAAGGCCUUCGGGUUGUAAAGCACUUUUCGGGAGGAUGAGGAAGGACGGUACUCCCGGAAUAAGUCUCGGCUAACUACGUGCCAGCAGCCGCGGUAAAACGUAGGAGGCGAACGUUAUCCGGAUUUACUGGGCGUAAAGCGCGUGUAGGUGGUUUGGUAAGUAGGGCGUGAAAGCUCCCGGCUCAACUGGGAGAGGUCGUUCUAAACUGCCGAGCUAGAGGAUGGUAGAGGGAGGUGGAAUUCCGGGUGUAGCGGUGGAAUGCGCAGAUAUCCGGAGGAACACCAGUGGCGAAAGCGGCCUCCUGGACCAUUCCUGACACUCAGACGCGAAAGCUAGGGUAGCAAACGG
rnacentral:rRNA from 1 species